UGCUUAACAACCGUAGCAAAAAAAGGUCAUAAAAUAGGACAAAACUCACUUAGCAACUGCCUUGCUUAGCAACAAAGUUUGGGCUCAAUUUUGGUCAUGAGAUGGGGAUUACCUAUAUAAUUUUUAUGUGUAAUAAUCUUAGCAAAGGAAUAAAUGAACUAUAUACCGAUCAUUUUUUUAAAAGAAAAUCCAUAUUGAGGCAAUAUGUUUUAAAAGUUUCCUUUAUCAUCCUACCAGAGAUCUUUUCCAAAUUUUGCAGAAACAGAAUGACUUAUUUAAAUUUUUAUGAAGAUAUAAAUUACUGAUGUUAUUAAUCUACUGAACUUCUGUGUUUCCAGAAUGGAUGACAAAGUUUUUGUAGACUUUAUGUCAGGUUUUCUGUCAAUGUUGCAUUAAAAUAUGAGGAAAAUAAAUUUGAUAAAUCUAAUCAAUUAUAGCUCUAUGUGUAUUACUAAAGGAGAAACAUUAUUUAAAAAGCCAUCAUGAUUUUUCUCUAAUAUUAAUGCAAAAAUCUUGAUAUACAGUUUCAUCUGUAUGUCUUUCACCAUUCAAUGAGAGUGCCUUCCAGAUGGGAACUUUUACUUGUCACAGAUUUAAUGGUUAUUACUUUUGGAUACAUAAAGGUGUAGCUAAACAGGCAGUUUGACUGUAAUCUUUGGGAUAUAUAUAUUCUGCAAAACAUGAUUCUCAGUGCUACAUUUUAUUAUUAUAUCAAUGUAACAUAAAACGUUAAUGUAUUUAAUCAGAAUCAUUUCAGUCAGUAUUGAGUCAGUAUUUCACAUUGGCAUGUUUUAAUAGCAGAAACAUUACAUAGCUGUCAUUGUUUCAGUCAAAAGUCUGCUAUCCUACUAGGUGUUUCGCUUGCUUCCAUUAUCUUUGCUUUAUAUGGUCCAAUUCUGUUUCAAGGCAAAAAAAGAUAAUUAAGUUCUUGUGUGGCACUCAUAAAACAUUAUAAUUCAGAUGUAGGGCAUCUUCCAGUCAAUGUGCUUAAAUAUUAUUAACUUCCCACCCUCAUUUUCUUACUUAACUUGAACUUUCUUUUUCAUAAAGUCUAAACAAUACAUCCAUAUUUGAAUGCCUUAUAAACAUUCCAAACAAUAAAUCCAAAAGUCUAUUUGCAAUAAAAGAAUCUUCAAACUCUUGUAUCUAUUUUUCAAAAAGCAAAUCUUUUAAUAAAUAUAUAUUAAGUGCCUAGGAAAAAAAUGGAACAAUUAUUUCUUGUAGGAAUUGAACUGGGGCAAAAUUUUAUAUAGGGACAUUACUUGUAUUACAUUUUUAAUCCAUUGAACUAAAAUUGAGAUACCAGAAGAUAAUGUAGUUAAGAAAACUGGUGUAGAAUUGAAAAAAAAAGUUUUGAAAUAGUUAAGUCACUAAAUAUCCACCAAAUUAAAAUCUGACAUAUGAUUCUGUGAUACUUUUAUCAACUGGUACUAUUGAUUUAAUUAAGGAUCUGAAACUUAAGCCGACAUUACAUUUUAGGAAUAAAUGAACACAAGGGGACAAGAACUAACCACUUUAUAUCAAAUGUAUUAUACUGUACUACUUGAAAAAUGAGACCCUACAAAAUAACACUUAAGUAGUGUUUUUAUGCAAGUUAAAUUUACUCAGAAUUUGCUAAGCUUACCCAGAAGUCCAUGGAAAGAGAACAGUCAGAUAACAGUCAUGUUUCAGAAAAGGCAGAGGAGGUAGGGUAAGAUAGUUAGCCUAGCAUAGUUAACACGAGAGAACAACUGAAUGUAAGACCUAUAUUUUAUUGAAAACAGUUAUUGUAUCUAUUUCUAGUUGUUCCUGCCAAAAUGUGAAAUAUAUUAAGGUGAAUGGGUGUGAAAAAAUAUAUUAUGGUUAAUUUUGGAGAGACAAUUUGGGUUUUUGGGAAACUUAGUUGUUCAAGAAUAGCGAUGGAUAUGAAAGGAAGAUGCAUAUUAUCAAUUUAUCUCAUUUCUAACAAUGGCCACAUUAGAAGACGACAGUGGAAAUAAAAAGUGGAGGCAAAACAGUAAUAUUUUGAGAUAUGCAGACAAUGCCACUAUAUUAGCUGGUAUUAUGUUUAGAUUUAAUUGUUAAGAGUAAAAAAUGGAAAAUUUAUCCUAAUAUUAAAUACUAAUGCCAACCAAUAUUCUCAAGUGAACUCAUAGUUUAUGGCAAAGAAAAUAAUAGAUAAUGAAAGAUAAGCAUUUAUUUGGCAAUAAAUAAGAAUAAUUGAAAAGCUUUUCAGUAGUUAUGUGCAUCAGUUUAAGGUACACAUUGAGAAAGUAUGACCUCAAACUGUGGAUGUGGGGUUCUAAGAAUACAACAACAUAUUCAAGAACUAAUCAAUUGACCCUAGACCAAAAAAGGAUAAGAACUUCCUUGAGCAAACAAAAAUAUAUUUUGGUCAUAUGACAGAAGUGAAUGAUGGGUUAG